CUCAUCCAGGACGCAGCAUGUACUGCUGUAGCACCGAUCAGCAGCAGGUGGAGCCAACAGAUCACACGUGCUGAUCUCUGCGCCUCAGCAGCCACGGGGACGGAGACGGAGAGUUCUGACGGCGGGCAGAACGGUUGUACAGCAGGCGGGCUCUCCCACUGGGUGUCGGUUCCCCCGCCACCACAAAACACACACCGGAAAAAAAACGCAGUGCUGGCUUUGAUAAUGGAAGAGAAGACAAUGGCCAGUGUGUGUGUGUGGAGGAAUCCAGGCUGCAGCCACAGUUGCUUUUUCUCCUCUUUGUUUGAAGCUUUCAAUGGAUUUUCAGCGAUACACAGCAAUUUCAUGCAGGAGAAGAAAAACAGAGUUUUGGUGAGGAGGGAUAAUUAUGUGAAGCUGUUAUCCAAGACAACAGGAUGUGGAAGCGUCGCUGCGAGGGAAGGAGGAGUGUGUCCUGGUCAAAGCGGACGCCGGCCGUCACACACUUGGUGCCUCUGAUGCUCCAGAGCCAAAGGGGGACGAGAGGCUGGUGGUGGUCAGGAAACUGGGAAAGGGUCAGAGGUCACGAGGAGGUCAUGAGGGAAACAAAGCUUCACAAAUACUCGCAUGCCAUGAAGUCAUAUUUAAAAUGACUACGACUCCAGUCUCAGGGCGCAGCCACGGCUCCAGGCUGAUCCAGCAUUUGGUGACGAGUUGCUCAUGAUUUCAGUCACAACAGAUUCUAAUAAAAUCAUCUUGUUUCAUGGCUAAAGAAAUCAAA